rnacentral:rRNA from 1 species
AUUGAACGCUGGCGGCAGGCCUAACACAUGCAAGUCGAGCGGAGCGGCGGACGUGUGAGUAAUUCCUAGGCAUCUGCCUGGUAGUGGGGGAUAACGUCCGGAAACGGGCGCUAAUACCGCAUACUAUCAGAUGAGCCUAGUGCGGAUUCGCCAGUUGGUGGGGUAAAGGCUUACCAAGGCGACGAUACGUAACUGGUCUGAGAGGAUGAUCAGUCAGACUGGAACUGAGACACGGUCCAGAGUCCUACGGGAGGCAGCAGUAGGGAAUAUGGGACUAUGGGCGAAAGCCUGAUCCAGACAUGCAGCGUGUGUGAAGAAGGUCUUCAGAUUGUAAAGCACUUUAAGUUGGGAGGCGUUACCAACAGAAGAAGCACCGGCUAACGUCGUGCCAGCAGCCGCGGUAAUUC